rnacentral:ncRNA from 1 species
UGGGAGAAGCUUAGAUGUUCUUGGAACUCUGUCUUAUAAAUCAGCCAUUUCCAGCAUGGAUGCUGGAAAAGAUGCAACGUCGCCAUGGAUGGCGACUUUGCAUCGGUGGCGUACGCAUAAACCAGCUAACUCAGAGUUCCUAGAACAUCUUAGCUCCGGA